rnacentral:rRNA from 1 species
CACGUAGGGGGCGAGCGUUUUCCGGAUUUAUUGGGCGUAAAGAGCUCGUAGGCGGCUCGGUAAGUCGGGUGUGAAAUUUCAGGGCUCAACCCAGAAAAGCCACCUGAUACUGCUGUGGCUAGAGUCCGGUAGAGGAGUGGGGAAUUCCUGGUGUAGCGGUGAAAUGCGCAGAUAUCAGGAGGAACACCAGCGGCGAAGGCGGCACUCUGGGCCGGUACUGACGCUGAGGAGCGAAAGCGUGGGUAGCAAACAGG